rnacentral:rRNA from 1 species
AUUGAACGCUGGCGGCAUGCUUUACACAUGCAAGUCGAACGGUAACAGGGUGCUUGCACCGCUGACGAGUGGCGAACGGGUGAGUAAUGCGUCGGAACGCACCGAGUAAUGGGGGAUAACGCAGCGAAAGCUGUGCUAAUACCGCAUACGCUCUGAGGAGGAAAGCGGGGGACCUUCGGGCCUCGCGUUAUUCGAGCGGCCGACGUCUGAUUAGCUAGUAGGUGAGGUAAGAGCUCACCUAGGCGACGAUCAGUAGCGGGUCGGAGAGGAUGAUCCGCCACACUGGGACUGAGACACGGCACAGACUCCUACGGGAGGCAGCAGUGGGGAAUUUUGGACAAUGGGCGCAAGCCUGAUCCAGCCAUGCCGCGUGUCUGAAGAAGGCCUUCGGGUUGUAAAGGACUUUUGUCAGGGAGGAAAUCCUUAGCGCUAAUACCGUUGAGGGAUGACAGUACCUGAAGAAUAAGCACCGGCUAACUACGUGCCAGCAGCCGCCGUAA